CCUGGCUGGAACAGAAGGCUGCAUUCCAUGAACUCAACGUUCUUGAAAAUGCCUUGCUGCCCAUCAGUCUCGCUCAGGGGCUCUUUCGCCACAGUCCUCACUUUUCACAGCUUUUAUCGCUGUUUGUCUUCCCUUGGAUAUGAAUGUCCGUUUACACUACAUCCACUAAUGGAUUCUGGAACCUUCGCUGCUGUGAGGGUGUGUGUGAAUCCCAGCAGAUGGCAUCUUAGUUGCAUUAAUACA